rnacentral:rRNA from 1 species
GUGAGGAAUAUUGGUCAAUGGGCGAGAGCCUGAACCAGCCAAGUCGCGUGAAGGAAGAAGGAUCUAUGGUUCGUAAACUUCUUUUGCAGGGGAAUAAAGUGCAGGACGUGUCCUGUUUUGUAUGUACCCUGAGAAUAAGGAUCGGCUAACUCCGUGCCAGCAGCCGCGGUAAUACGGAGGAUCCGAGCGUUAUCCGGAUUUAUUGGGUUUAAAGGGUGCGUAGGUGGUUUGAUAAGUCAGCGGUGAAAGUUUGCAGCUUAACUGUAAAAAUGCCGUUGAAACUGUCGGACUUGAGUGUAAAUGAGGUAGGCGGAAUGCGGGGUGUAGCGGUGAAAUGCAUAGAUAUCACGCAGAACUCCGAUUGCGAAGGCAGCUUACUAAGCUACAACUGACACUGAAGCACGAAAGCGUGGGGAUCAAACAGGAUUAGAUACCCGUGUAGUCC